UUCUAUACAGAUUGUCGCCCCAUGCUGGUCAAUAAUUGCACUUUGCAUCCAUACUAUUUUUAAGUCUUGGUUCGCAAUAACCUAUUCAGAAACGUGGUAUAUUUGCACUUACAAAGGUGAAGGUGCGGUGAGUUUUGCGGAGGUUUUCCUACUCAAAGAAGUUCCAUAUUACGUACACUAAAUAGGUUUAGUUUCCGUACGGUAAAAGGACGGACGACAUUUCGGAGUGGAUAGAUAUGACGAUGACUCAUGACUGCUGAAGCCAGUGAAACCGUUUAUAUGCACAAUCUUAUUGGUAUUGAUUUGUGCUCAUUUUUCGGCACAUAACACUAAAUUACUAAGCCCAUUCAUUAUUACGAACAAUUAAGGUAAGUCAAACUCUUUUAUACUGACUUCAUAAUGAUCGAAAUUGUUUUGAAAUUAGGCUCACAAGUAAAAAUGCAGAAUUCCUGUUGCUACAUAUAUUUUUUUGAGCUAUAUAAAUAAAUAGCAAUUAGGGCAUUUUGAACCAAAUAAAUAUGACAAAUUUUUGCAAAUGGGACAACAUUACGUGAAACAAUGGUAUGAAUGAGCUCAGUUUUAAUGUUUCUUUCCAAUUCAGAUAUCCAUCUGGACGUCAAUAUAUGGGCUUAGAUAUUAUAAUUUGCAGUUAGGAUUAGUGGGAGGAGGAGAAGUGGCAAUUAGAUAAUUGGGACGAUUUGAACUGAAUAUUAUGUAAAUUGUUCGUAAAUUGUCUCUGAUUGAAUUAUAUUUUACUGGGACAGAAGAUUUGCACAAUCGGAGGACCAAGUGUGACAAGUGGAACAUCUCCAUAUGUAAAACCCAAGCCUUUUGGGUGGCAUAAUAUUGGAGGAGGCUGCGUGUAAAAAUCCCGGAGUUUGUAGAUGUCUGCAUUGCUGAUUGGCGAAUUGGACGGAGGUUUAGUGAACUUUGGACGAAUGGCUGGAAGUGGUUUUGGCAAUGUCUGAGAGUUGCCAACUUAUACAUACAACCCACCAACAAAUAGAAUGAAGCCUUUGAUGAUGAUUAUAUGAUGAUGAUGAUGAUGCAAAACCUCGUCAUUUACUUUGGAGAUGAUAAUGAUGCACGUUUUUAAGAAGCGGCAAACAGUUUUGCCACGCCAUCGCCAUUUUUUGGCGCCCUAACCUAACCAACAACGGUCAACCUGUCAGCCCAUAUUUUUUCCCAGGAAUUCGCACUCCCAAGAAAUCACGGUGAAGGGAAAAAAUUCUUCUUGGGUAACAUAUUUAUUUUCCACGCAAGAAGUUUUGAACCACUCAAGCCAUUAUCCAGUAUUAGGAGAUCAUGAAGUCGUGGCGUGGUCGCAAUUCGGAUGAUGAUGAUGAUUUGGUCUCUCCAAUAUGCAAACUUUAAAAACUUGCUUUAAAUGCAUGCACUAGCUACGACGACAUAUGUGUCUUGCAUUACUUACUUAUUAUAGAUGCAUAGGAUUUAAAUACGAUUAAAAUAAUAUAUGCAAUGGUAGAAACAAUCA